rnacentral:tmRNA from 1 species
GGGGGUGAUAAGGCUUCGACAGGGAUAAGAAGUCCAGAACUGCACACCAAGGUCCGGAUCCCUUGUAAAACUAUCCGGAAAAAAAUAAGCGCCAACGAAAGCUUGGCUCUGGCUGCUUAAAGACAGCCAACGCCUCCUUACUCUUUGCCCUGGAGAGUAAGAGGGGUGUUAUAAAACAGGGCUGGUCUUGCUCUUAGCAAAGGAGGGUAAGACGAGAUAAAAAACUUUGCUGAGUCUGUUUUCUAUCCUGCCUGUCGGAGAGAAAACAGACGAGAUAAAAAAGACAGGCUAAGUGUGUAGAUGUUCUGGUUUUCUUAUCUCUGGACGAGGGUUCGAUUCCCUCCACCUCCACCA